GACGAACGCUGGCGGCGUGCUUAAUACAUGCAAGUCAACGACUUUUAGAGUAGCAAUAUUCUAAAGGAAGUGGCGCACGGGUGAGUAACACGUAGGUAAUCUGCCUUCAGGACUGACACAACUCGUCGAAAGACGGGCUAAUAUCAGAUAAUGCAGCGGCUCCGCAUGGAGACAGUUGUUAAAGUACAAGCGCCUGAAGAUGAGCCUGCGGUCCAUUAGCUAGUUGGUAGAGUAAAGCCUACCAAGGCAACGAUGGAUAGCUGGUCUGAGAGGAUGAUCAGCCACACUGGAACUGAGACACGGUCCAGACUCCUACGGGAGGCAGCAGUAAGGAAUAUUGCUCAAUGGCCGAAAGGCUGAAGCAGCAACGCCGCGUGAAGGAUGAAUGGCCUUUGGCCUGUAAACUUCUGUAAAAAGGGAAAAC
rnacentral:rRNA from 1 species